ensembl:lncRNA
AUGACCCAUCUAAAACAGCACCGAUCCAGCCCAACUCAGUGCCACCCCCCGGGAGCCACGCCGGAGGCUGGGGAGUUAUUAUCUCUCUUGCUGACCUGCAUCGCAAAAUGCAUGCUGGCUCGGGUACUCAGCACCGCUUGCCAACGCAUUUCAGAUAAACGGGAAACUCCCAUGUCUACCAAAAUGAGGUGCGCCGUGUUUAUGGCAGUGAACCUUCCAAGAACAAAAGGGGAACGAGAUUAUCCAGAGUUCACUUCCCCCUUCUCCCCACCUGCUCAGGGACUCCUACCCGUCAGCAACGGUGAGACUUUGGUAUUUUAUUUUUCACUAUUAGUUUCAGAGGUCAGAGGAACACAUUCACUUUUCUACAGUAAUCUGUCACUUACAGGUCAGGAAACAACAGCGGGCCCAAGUUACACGUGCCGCGACGCAAAAUGGGCUCCUCGGAAACCAUGGUUGGCAUGCUCUCCGGAACCGAUUCCCGUUCUGACUCCUGAUCCAAAGGUCUGGACGGCGCGGGUGGUAAAACCACACCAAGCCUGGCUGAGACGGGUCCCGAGACGUUCCCACCUGCCCUCUCACGUAAGCGUGCGGGGUUCUACAGCUGGAGGGGACUCGGAUGAAAACGACUUUAGUCGUGUGAUCUUCAAAUUAUUUCCAAACCCAGCCCGGCUUUAGGACGACUGGUUUCCUGCGUGCUUUAAAGCUUUAACAAAUGGCGCGCUAUUUAAAUGCUCAUUUUCAACUUGUUGAGAGAAAAGGCAACGCUGAUUUUUCGAGAAUGUGGCUCAAAUGUAAAGCCUAUCUAGUGGGAAGCAGGAAGAGAUCAAGGGAACGGCUUUUGAAUACAUGAAAAAAUGACUAACUUUUACAAAACUUUAUCUGUAGACGGCUUCCCUCCCAAGGUCAGAUGGACUUUUCUUUACCCCGUGCAUAUGCAUGAGUGCAUGUGUAUACACGUGUAUGCGUGCACGUGUGUGCACCUGUAUGCAUGUGUGUAUGCAAGUGUGUGCAUGUGUGCACAUAUGAGAGUGUGUGCAUGUGGUGUAGGAGUGUGUGCGCGUGUGUGUGUGCAUAUGAGUGUGUGCAUGUGUGCACAUAUGAGAGUGUGUGCAUGUGGUGUAGGAGUGUGUGCACGUGUGUGUGUGCAUAUGAGUGUGUGCAUGUGUGCGCAUGCACGCACCUGAGCCAGGCUCUCCCCAUCGGGUGCAGAGACCCCCAGCCCAGAACACAGGCGGGAGAAUCCCCACACCCACCGCCCACCACACCUAAGCCCCGAAUGUUCUACACGGCAUCUGGGGGCGGCCUGGGGAGUGAUUGCGGAACUCAUGGGUCCGCUGGCUUACCCGUCCCCAAAGAAGCUUCAGGACUGCCAGGGACUUGGGGAGCGCCUCCGGCGCGAGAGGAAGGAAAUGAUCAGGGAAGUGGAAAAUGGAAGACGCAGACAACGCGGAGGUGAGGCUGGAGGGGCGGGGGUUCCGAGUACAACAGACGUGUGACCUCGGAGGAGGGGCUGUCCCACCUGUGAGGUUAGAACAGAGCGGUGGGAAGACAGAGAACUCAAAAACCAGAAAGAACUUUUAUUAUUUUUAAGUUUAUUUAUUUUGAGAGAGAGUGUGUGUGUGUGUGAGCCGGGGAGGGGCAGAGAGAGAGAGAGAGAAAAAGAGAGAGCACGCACGAGGUGUGCAGAAGCAUGGGGGAGGGAGAGAGAGGGAAUCCCAAGCAGGCUCCGCACUGUCAGCACAGGGCCCAACACGGGGCUCGAACUUGCAAACCGUGAGAUCAUGACCCGAGCUGAAACCAAGAGUCAGACACCCAGCCGAGUCCCCAGAAAGAACUUUCGGAAAUUGAUACGCGACAGUGAAAACUAAAAAACACGUUUAAAGCCAAGAGAUUAGAAUCCAGAGAUGCAAGAGGCAAAGAGAUAGGACAUGGAAGGAAAUGCAGAGAUCCACAGAAGUCCAGCAUCAACUAAGAGGAGCUCCCGGGGUGGGAGGUGGGGAGAACAGAUGGGGGGCGGGAGAGGAGCUCCAGAAAGGCGGGGAGAGCAGAUGGGGGGCAGGAAUGAUCAGGGCAGAGCACUAGGCGUUUCCCGGCUGACGGUGGCAGGAGGGACCGAACCCUCUGGGACCCGCGGUGUGCAGACCGUGUCCACAAAGGGAGAGUCGGUAAGAGGAAGUGGAGGACACAAGGCAGCGCGGCGCCCCUCCCCCCCCACGCCCUCACCUCCCACCCGCCCUGGGACACCCACCUUCAGGCCCCCCCAUGAUGUGCUCUCAUCCCCCCUGGGCAAACACGUAGCCGUGGCCCUCAACUGCAGGGGACAUGGGUGUAUGUGUCACCUAAAGACAUUGACGAACAGUCGCGGGAGCACAGCCUUCCUGAUCUCCCACUGAGGCUGGCACACACGUGGUCAUACGCACACAUGUUUAUACACACACACACACCAUAAAUGCAUGCCCACAUGUACAUAUGUAUGCAUACAUGUGUGUGCACGUGUAACACAUAUACAUAUACACACGUGCAUGUAUAUAUAAAAUAAUUGCCUUUAAAAAAAUUAAUGACUAUUUUCAGAGCGGUUUUAGAUUUGGGGUUUUAUGUUUUAGAAAAAUCACACAGAAAGCACAGAAUUCCCAUGCACCCUCUCUCCCUGUGUCCGUAAGCCUACGCCCCCCAGUUUCCUGUCUUAUUGGCCUCUUGCAUUAGUGUGAUACUUUGUUAUGACUUAUCAAGCAAUGUCAGCAAAUGAUUGUUAACUACUAAUUUUAGUUAACCUCUGAAUUAGCUAACUAUUUUAACUAUGCACGUGACUUUUUAAAAGGCUCUCAUUUUCCAUACUUUUAGAACAAUGUUUUAAAAACUUCCACUUUCUGCGGAGAGAUUUUUUUUUUCCUGCAACGAAGCAGAAUUUCCCUGCAACUUCCGUGCAAGUGUGGGAAAGGGCAGAGGCGUGCAUGGGAGAGGGAGCCCUGGUAAACACCGCCAGGGCGGACGCCUGGGGAGCGGGGCGGGGAGGUGGCCCGGGAGCUAGGACGAGGCCCCGAGGGAGAGGCCCAGGACACGAGCCCGGUCCUCAGGCCCUCCUCGGAGAUUCUUGGGACUCUGUUGCAUAAAACACCACCUAUGUACCUUCCUGCAAGACAGGAAGAAGAUUCUUACUACAGUUAAGUACGUGACACGUCCCGGGUGGACGUUUUUCAUCCUCGCCGCUGGUGUUUCCUGCUUUCCGGUUACCCUGUCCUCUGACCUGCCCUUGAUCACAGAAACCACAGCUGCAGGGCCAUUCAUCUCAGAGAGGAGACACACAAACCACGUGGCACGGUGGGCAACGCGCUCAGAUGACUGAGGAGAAAGAAAUCCAUAGAACCACGAAAACAGCCCAGUUCUUAUAAUUCAAGAUUUCGACUCCUGGAUUUGCAAGCAACCCCCGUGAAAUGUGUAUUACUUAUUAAAGAGUGUACUUCAGCGUCGAAGGUUUGUAGAGUAACGGCCACUGUCUUGACGAAACGUAGAUACAUACCGUUUCCGGUUGACUGCAGCAACUUACAGACUACUUCUGGCAUAUUUGAAGGCAGUCGUCGUAAAUAUUUUCACCUAUAGUCCAAAGGGGCUUGUCUUUCCAGGACUGUCUCUUCAGCAGCACGCAGGGGUGAGUGCAGUGGCCCCUCGGGCAUGGGUUCCUGCCGCGGGGAAGUAAGGGAAGCAGAAUUAGAGGGGCUCUCUGGGCGGGUCAUGGCCAAAGGGAGAACGGACACCCACAGCAGACGGGCACAAAGAAAUUGCAAACGGCCACUGGGCAGACGUAGGAAUUGAAAGAGAGAAAGAGUAACUACUGUGUAAACCAUACAUUUUUUUUUUAAGUUUAUUUAUUUAUUUUGAGAGAGACAGAGAGAGGGAGAGAAGAGAGGGGCAUAUAGAGAAGGAGAGAGAAUCCCACGCAGGCUCCAUGCCAUCAGUGGAGAGCCCGACACGGGGCCGGAACCCACGAACCGUGAGGUCAUGACCUGAGCCAAAAUCAAGAGUUGGACACUCAACCGACUGAGCCACCCAGGCGCCCCAACCAUACGUUUUUCAACGCCACACUAUUCAACGUCAAAUCACAGGUCAUGUGCCAAGGAUGAAAAGCACCACAAAGCCCCCCGUUACAGGGAAAUUCAGGACCUCUCCAGAGUGGACCUACUCUCGUCGGAUAGUGACGGGUCUUACUGUUCGGAAGUCUAAAAAUCUCCACAAAGUCAUCCGUGCUUCUAGGAAAAGCACAAAGAACCCUGUGUUACUUGCGUUUGGUCCCGGAUCCUCGGAAUUCCUUCACCGGCCAAGUCUUUGCUGCAAGACUCACGUAGAGAUGCUCUAAAAUUGAUCCUGAACUCACCACUAAGGUAUAAUUUAAUAAAAGAUUUUAGAAGGAUAUAAUUCA